GCUCAGGGACCAAAUGGUCCCGCCACAUUCUGGGAGCCACCACUUAGGAACUCCACAACCCUGGGAAAAUUACUUAACUUCUGUGCCUUAGUUUCCUCAUCUGAAAGAUGGGAUAAUAGUACUUAUCUCACGAGGUUGUUGUCAGGAUUAAAU
ensembl:snoRNA